rnacentral:tRNA from 1 species
CGGAAUGUAGCGCAGCUUGGUAGCGCACUAGCAUGGGGUGCUAGGGGUCGCUGGUUCGAAUCCAGUCAUUCCGA